rnacentral:rRNA from 1 species
GACGAACGCUGGCGGCGUGCUUAACACAUGCAAGUCGAACGGACAGGCCCUGCUUUUGUGGGGUGCUCGAGUGGCGAACGGGUGAGUAACACGUGAGUAACCUGCCCUUGACUUUGGGAUAACUUCAGGAAACUGGGGCUAAUACCGGAUAGGAGCUCCUGCUGCAUGGUGGGGGUUGGAAAGUUUCGGCGGUUGGGGAUGGACUCGCGGCUUAUCAGCUUGUUGGUGGGGUAGUGGCUUACCAAGUCUUUGACGGGUAGCCGGCCUGAGAGGGUGACCGGCCACAUGGGGACUGAGAUACGGCCCAGACGGCAACGGGAGGCAGCAGUGGGGAAUAUGGCACAAUGGGCGGAAGCCAGAGGCAGCAACGCCGCGUGCGGGAUGACGGGCUUCGGGGUGUAAACCGAUGUCGCAGGUGACGAAGCGUGAGUGACGGUAAUGGGUAAAGAAGCACCGGCUAACUACGUG